CCACCCCCUGAGGCCCCCGCCCCUCCCCAACCAGCCCCCCUCCCACCGCUUUCCUGCAGGUUUGGGCUAUGGCAACGGCAACAGCAACGGUGGUCUGGGAGCCGGGUUCUUCCCUGAGGUCCGCCCACAGCCAGGUGCCUGGGGGGCUGGGGGUGAGGUGGGGGGCUUUGGGCUCAGGGGUGCUCGUGUUUCUGACCUUGUCUUUCGUCCUCCAGGGUUCCCAGGGGCCGAUGGCUUUCUGAACGGUCAGGCUGCGGGCCUGAGGGGCUUUCCCUGGCCCUCCCUCCGGGCCUGGGGGGCUGCCUUGAAGCCUACAUACCGGGUCGGAGGCACAUACCCAGAAGUCGGGAGCCAACCAGGGCCCUAUGGGCAGCUGAGGCCAGAGCUGGGCCCUGGGCCCUUGGGAGGCCCUGAGGUGAAAAGAGGCAGCAAUGGCCCCCUGGGAAAUGGCUUUGGAGGCCGCUGACUUCUUGGGAAAUGCUGAGCACCCGAGCACACCCACGGCCUGUCCUGAGCGCCUCUGCAUGCAAGCCUGGUCUUCAGGCAAGGCCAGCCAGACCCUCCGGCUUGGCCUCUGGCCUGGGGUUUCCUGCAGGCUGAAAGUCUCAAUAAAGGCAGUGUGCUUC
rnacentral:lncRNA from 1 species